AGAGUUUGAUUCUGGCUCAGGACGAACGCUGGCGGCGUGCUUAACACAUGCAAGUCGAACGGAGCGCCUAUGAUAGAGACUUCGGUCAAUGGAUUAGGUUGCUUAGUGGCGGACUGGUGAGUAACGCGUGAGGAACCUGCCUUUCAGAGGGGGACAACAGUUGGAAACGACUGCUAAUACCGCAUGAUAUGUAACUGGGGCAUCCCGGAUACAUCAAAGAUUUAUCGCUGAAAGAUGGCCUCGCGUCUGAUUAGAUAGUUGGUGGGGUAACGGCCUACCAAGUCGACGAUCAGUAGCCGGACUGAGAGGUUGACCGGCCACAUUGGGACUGAGAUACGGCCCAGACUCCUACGGGAGGCAGCAGUGGGGAAUAUUGCACAAUGGGGGAAACCCUGAUGCAGCGACGCCGCGUGAGCGAAGAAGUAUUUCGGUAUGUAAAGCUCUAUCAGCAGGGAAGAAAAUGACGGUACCUGACUAAGAAGCACCGGCUAAAUACGUGCCAGCAGCCGCGGUAAUACGUAUGGUGCAAGCGUUAUCCGGAUUUACUGGGUGUAAAGGGAGCGUAGACGGCUGUGUAAGUCUGAAGUGAAAGCCCGGGGCUCAACCCCGGGACUGCUUUGGAAACUAUGCAGCUAGAGUGUCGGAGAGGCAAGUGGAAUUCCCAGUGUAGCGGUGAAAUGCGUAGAUAUUAGGAGGAACACCAGUGGCGAAGGCGGCUUACUGGACUGUAACUGACGUUGAGGCGCGAAAGCGUGGGGAGCAAACAGGAUUAGAUACCCUGGUAGUCCACGCUGUAAACGAUGAAUACUAGGUGUGGGAGGACUGACCCCUUCCGUGCCGCAGUUAACACAAUAAGUAUUCCACCUGGGGAGUACGACCGCAAGGUUGAAACUCAAAGGAAUUGACGGGGGCCCGCACAAGCAGUGGAUUAUGUGGUUUAAUUCGACGCAACGCGAAGAACCUUACCAGGAUUUGACAUCCAACUAACGAAGCAGAGAUGCAUUAGGUGCCCUUCGGGGAAAGUUGAGACAGGUGGUGCAUGGUUGUCGUCAGCUCGUGUCGUGAGAUGUUGGGUUAAGUCCCGCAACGAGCGCAACCCUUGCCUUUAGUUGCCAGCAUUAAGUUGGGCACUCUAGAGGGACUGCCAGGGAUAACCUGGAGGAAGGUGGGGAUGACGUCAAAUCAUCAUGCCCCUUAUGCUUAGGGCUACACACGUGCUACAAUGGGUGGUACAGAGGGCAGCCAAGUCGUGAGGCGGAGCUAAUCCCUUAAAGCCAUUCUCAGUUCGGAUUGUAGGCUGAAACUCGCCUACAUGAAGCUGGAGUUACUAGUAAUCGCAGAUCAGAAUGCUGCGGUGAAUGCGUUCCCGGGUCUUGCACACACCGCCCGUCA
rnacentral:rRNA from 1 species